UACAAAGGAAGUUGACGGGGCCCGCACAAGCGGUGGAGCAUGUGGUUAAUUCGAAGCAACGCGAAGAACCUUACCAGGUCUUGACAUCCCUCGACAACCCGAGAGAUCGGGCGUUCCCCCGUUCGGGGGACGAGGGUGACAGGUGGUGCAUGGUUGUCGUCAGCUCGUGUCGUGAGAUGUUGGGUUAAGUCCCGCAACGAGCGCAACCCUCGACCUUAGUUGCCAGCAUUCAGUUGGGCACUCUAAGGUGACUGCCGGCUAAAAGUCGGAGGAAGGUGGGGAUGACGUCAAAUCAUCAUGCCCCUUAUGACCUGGGCUACACACGUGCUACAAUGGGCGGUACAAAGGGUCGCGAACCCGCGAGGGGGAGCCAAUCCCAAAAAGCCGCUCUCAGUUCGGAUUGCAGGCUGCAACUCGCCUGCAUGAAGCCGGAAUCGCUAGUAAUCGCGGAUCAGCAUGCCGCGGUCGAAUACGUUCCCGGGCCUU
rnacentral:rRNA from 1 species